rnacentral:lncRNA from 1 species
UAAGCGAAGGAGAAACAGGAAGCAUCCGUUUUUCCCCAUUCGCCUCCUCCAGCGGCAGAAUGUGAGCCACCAGCAAGGAGGGAUGCCAAUAAGCUACAACUGAGGUAUGACCUGACCCAUCCACCAUUAUGAGUCAAAGAACCUCCAAGACACUGCUGAGUUCCUUCUGAAUUGGCCAUCCAUUGCUGGGCAUGGGGUCUAACCUCCAGAGUGAUUUGCUUCCCCAAAGAGACUCCCUUGGAGAAAUCUAACUUUUCACUUGCAAAUGAUUAUCAAUUGGAGAAAGCUUCUGGGUUAAGGAUGGAUGUGUGUAUCCAUUUCCACUCUUAGCACUGGGACCCCAUCUGGUGCAGACAUGUAAAAGUCCUGUAUAUACUGCCACAGUUUCUGUGAAUUCAUAUGUAUGCCAGUCACUCCAUGUAUAGAAGAUUUUGUUUCCAUGGUGCCUCCUGCCUCUUCUACUCCUCCCACUUUCUCUUCUGCAAGUUCCCAGAAGGGAAGCAUAAAUACAACAGAAAUGGUUAGAAGAUGAAGGAGGAGG